rnacentral:rRNA from 1 species
AACGAACGCUGGCGGCAUGCCUAAUACAUGCAAGUCGAACGAGAUCUUCGGAUCUAGUGGCGCACGGGUGCGUAACGCGUGGGAAUCUGCCCUUGGGUUCGGAAUAACAUCGGGAAACUGAUGCUAAUACCGGAUGAUGACGCCAAAGAGAUUUGGAGUCCAAAGAUUUAUCGCCCAGGGAUGAGCCCGCGUAGGAUUAGCUAGUUGGUGGGGUAAAGGCCCACCAAGGCGACGAUCCUUAGCUGGUCUGAGAGGAUGAUCAGCCACACUGGGACUAAGACACGGCCCAUACUCCUACGGAAGGCAGCAGUAGGGAAUAUUGGACAAUGGGGGCAACCCUGAUCCAGCAAUGCCGCGUGAGUGAUUAAGGCCUUAGGGUUGUAAAGCUCUUUUACCCGGGAUGAUAAUGACAGUACCGGGAGAAUAAGCCCCGGCUAACUCCGUGCCAGCCGCCGCCGUAAAAC